CAGUCCAUCAGGCAACGACUUCAAGCAAGUCAUCGAAAGCAACCAGAACUACAGUUGAAGCAGAGAAGGCCUCAGGUUCAACGAGCGCUCAAUCGAAGCCAAGCUCGGCGAAGAGUUCGGUGUCAGCAAAGAGAACGCCAGAAGCUUCGCUGAAAGGAUCCAAAACGCCGACUGCGGAAGCUGAGGCGAAGCCCGAGGAAGCCGUUAAAGAACAACCGGAGGGUGAGCCAGCGCCCGUUGAGGGAGCCUGGGAGCAAGGAUCG
rnacentral:lncRNA from 1 species